rnacentral:lncRNA from 1 species
GGUGUUAACGGACCACACGGGGACCAGGGUCCGGAGGGCCAAACAGGACCUAAAGUAGGCACGCUAAUUCUCAGCCAAUGACAUUCAAGGGUGCUAGGAAAUCAGCCAAUUACAUUCAUGGGUGCUACUGUAUGACACUUUCCUACAUGGAAACACAUUUUCACACAGCAUCUCUAUUGUCAAAGUGUGUUGCUUGGCCAGAGAAGCCAUGAGAGCUGAGUUGACCUUGCUCUCCAUUUCUAUUUAAAUACCGAUCCUUCACUUUCUGUCAGACAUUGACCAGACCUCUCAAACAAGGAAGGCCUUGGAAUCAAGAGUGAUUUAGAGCCAUUUAGCUAUUUAGCGAUAAAAAAAUUAAAAAUCUGACACAAUGAAGAACAUAAUGUGUAGCAGGAACAAGUGACUGCUGUAUUCUUCGUAAAUGCCAUUCUGAGAUGCGUUAUUGAAUCCCAUGAAGAUCCUUUGUCUGCAUUUUAUUGCCAUUUUCCAUCCUCGUAGACUUCUGUUGGAAUGGAUGGAGUUCCUCUGUGGAGAAGCACCAGGGAAGGGUUUUCUCUUACAGUGUGAACUUGGAAUAGAAGCGUUUUAUGACUAACUUGUUGGUGGUGUGGGUUUCAAGCAGUAGGCGUUUUGACGCAUUCACACAGUGAUCGUACACCUCUAACACAGGGGGACCAAGGAACCACCGGUGCAUCUGGACCAGCAGGUGACAUUGGCAUUGGGUUCCCAGGUCCAAAGGUAACCUUAUAAUAACAAUUACAGAGAUUAUGCUAUACAUUUACAGUUUAUGUAAAUAACAUGAAUGUUGAAAUGUGUCAUUGUUCUCAGGGGGCCAAAGGAAUUCAGGGAAGACCAGGAACCCCUGGUCCCAUUGGAAUUGGAGAGCCAGGACAGCCAGGACCCCCAGGACUUGCUGGAGCUCAGGGUAACCAGGGAGCUGUUGGGGAGGGGCUCCCUGGCCCAAAGGUGGGCAAAUAUUUGAGUGUCCGAGCAUUAUACUGUUAG